UACGGAGGAGGCAAGCGUUAUCCGGAAUUAUUGGGCGUAAAGCGUCCGUAGGUGGCUAGUCAAGUCUGCGGUCAAAGACUGGGGCUUAACCCUGGAAAGGCCGUGGAAACUGACGAGCUAGAGUGCAGUAGGGGUAGAGGGAAUUCCCGGUGGAGCGGUGAAAUGCGUAGAGCUCGGGAAGAACAUCGGUGGCGAAAGCGCUCUACUGGACUGCAACUGACACUCAGGGACGAAAGCUAGGGGAGCGAAUGGG
rnacentral:rRNA from 1 species